rnacentral:rRNA from 1 species
UCGAGAAUCUUCCGCAAUGCACGAAAGUGUGACGGAGCGACGCCGCGUGGUGGAUGAAGUCCUUAGGGACGUAAACACCUUUUAUAGGGGAUGAAGAAUUUGACAGUACCCUAUGAAUAAGGGGCUCCUAACUCUGUGCCAGCAGGAGCGGUAAUACAGAGGCCCCAAGCGUUACCCGGAAUCACUGGGCGUAAAGGAUGCGUAGGUGGUUGUGUUAGUCAUGUGUGAAAUCCUUCGGCUCAACCGAAGGAAUGCCAUAUGAUACGGCACAACUAGAGGGCGUAAGAGGUAUGCGGAAUUCACGGUGUAGGGGUAAAAUCCGUUGAUAUCGUGGAGAACACCAUAGGCGAAGGCGGCAUACUGGGACGUUCCUGACACUGAGGCAUGAAAGCGUAGGUAGCGAACGGGAUUAGAUACCCCCGUAGUCC